rnacentral:rRNA from 1 species
UACGUAGGGUGCGAGCGUUGUCCGGAAUUAUUGGGCGUAAAGGGCUCGUAGGCGGUCUGUUGCGUCAGGAGUGAAAACUCGGGGCUUAACCCCGAGCCUGCUUCUGAUACGGGCAGACUAGAGGUAUGCAGGGGAGAACGGAAUUCCUGGUGUAGCGGUGAAAUGCGCAGAUAUCAGGAAGAACACCGGUGGCGAAGGCGGCAUCCUGGACCAAUAUUGACGCUGAGGAGCGAAAGCGUGGGGAGCGAACAGG